UUUGUUUUUUUUUAUUUGUUUGUUUGUUUUUCCCCCUGGAAUUAGCUGCAGCUUUCUAUGCAGCUCACAGAAGCAGCAAACCUCCAUCUUCUGGUAGGAAAAGGCACUAAGGCACAUCCACAUGCCCCCUGACUUUUUAGAUACUCUUUCAUUGAAGACAUUCAAAUUCUGCCUUGCAAUUUCUUUUACACCAGAACUGUAUUGAUCAUUCCUCUCUGGAGCAGACCACAGUUUAGGACAUGAUUGUUAAAACCAGAUGUAAGAAAACUACCUUUUAGGCUGCCAGAAAUGCUCCUGCCUAAUGCCCAUCACCAUUUGUUCUGAAGAUACCAACUUUCUGGCUGUAGCAG